UGCGUGUUUCGCGAGGAGGAUCAGAGGAGGAGAAAGCAAGCGAAUCACUGCCCAAGUGUGUCACCCUCAUUCAGGUGUCAUGAAGGGCCUGGAAUUGUAGAAUGGUUGAGGAUCCAGGUGUGACAGCUGAGGCUCCAGAAAAUGGGAAUGCAACUAAACCAACCCAGAGGUUUUCUCAGACCUCUCUGUCCCAACAUGGCCUGGCUGUUGGUGUUGCACCAUGAGCACAGAUAACCCUUCCCUGGAACAACCCCAUUCUGCGGGAUUGAAGCUCACCAAGCCCUCAGACCUCAUCAAGACUCUUUGUCCAGCAUGGAAAAGAAGGAUUUCCCCCCUCCUUCAAACCUCCCUAUCACUUGCUCAGAGGCUCAGGGGUCUGAGCUACUCUGCACACAUCUAUUCUCAAGAGAUAGAAGAAGGUGCAGCAUCAGUAUCCCAGAACUUCAGAGCACAGUAG
rnacentral:lncRNA from 1 species